rnacentral:misc_RNA from 1 species
GACUCUCGGCAACGGAUAUCUUGGCUCUCGCAUCGAUGAAGAACGUAGCGAAAUGCGAUACUUGGUGUGAAUUGCAGAAUCCCGUGAAUCAUCGAGUCUUUGAACGCAAGUUGCGCCCCAGGCCGUCAGGCCGAGGGCACGCCUGCCUGGGCGUCACGCACCGAGUCGCCCCCGCCCCGUUCGACGCGGGUACGCGUCGGAGGGGGAGGGGUGCGGAAGCUGGCUCCCCGUGCCCGUCGCGCGGUCGGCCCAAAUGUGGGCUCCGGGAGGCGAGCGCCGCGAUCCGUGGUGGUUGUAGAGACACGCCUCAGAACCGGAUCGUCGGCCGAGCCGAUACCCCGGGCCAUCGGAACCCCACGGGGCCGUCUCCGGACGGCGCCCGCUCU